GACCUUUUGGAACUGGUGCCACAGCUCUGUUUCACUUCUCCAACUGCCAGCAUGUUGUAAAAAACUGCUUUGAUGGAUGUAUCAGGAUUCUCAGAAAUGAAUGUUCGGGAAUUAUGGAAUUAAAGGAUUCUAGACAGAGACAGAUGGCUUCAGCUGUAAAGUUUAAGAUGAUGGAAGCUGCUGAAGGAGGAGAUGGAAGCUGCUGAACAGGGGGAGACUGUGGCUACACGAGCAAAGAUUGUCCUUCAGGGACUCCCAAAGGAAGGAUGAGCGGGAAAGGGG